CAGUAGCCACGGGAAUACGAAGGGGGCUAGCGUUGCUCGGAAUGACUGGGCGUAAAGGGCGCGUAGGCGGAUUGCGCGGUCAGAUGUGAAAUUCCUGGGCUUAACCUGGGGGCUGCAUUUGAGACGCGUAGUCUAGAGUGUGAAAGAGGGUCGUGGAAUUCCCAGUGUAGAGGUGAAAUUCGUAGAUAUUGGGAAGAACACCGGUGGCGAAGGCGGCGACCUGGUUCAUAACUGACGCUGAGGCGCGAAAGCGUGGGGAGCUAACAGGAUUAGAUACCCGGGUAGUCCCUGUCUCUUAUAC
rnacentral:rRNA from 1 species